rnacentral:rRNA from 1 species
UCGGGUGUCAACCCCUACGCGUAAUGAAAGUGAACGCAGGUGAGAGCUUCGGCGCAUCAUCGACCGAUCCUGAUGUUCUCGGAUGGAUUUGAGUAAGAGCAUACGGGGCCGGACCCGAAAGAAGGUGAACUAUGCCUGUAUAGGGUGAAGCCAGAGGAAACUCUGGUGGAGGCUCGCAGCGGUUCUGACGUGCGAAUCGAUCGUCAAAUAUGGGCAUGGGGGCGAAAGACUAAUCGAACCUUCUAGUAGCUGGUUUCCGCCGAAGUUUCCCUCAGGAUAGCAGUGUUGAACUCAGUUUUAUGAGGUAAAGCGAAUGAUUAGGGACUCGGGGGCGCUAUAUUGCCUUCAUCCAUUCUCAAACUUUAAAUAUGUAAGAAGCCCUUGUUACUUAAUUGAACGUGGGCAUUCGAAUGUAUCAACACUAGUGGGCCAUUUUUGGUAAGCAGAACUGGCGAUGCGGGAUGAACCGAACGCGAGGUUAAGGUGCCGGAGUGGACGCUCAUCAGACACCACAAAAGGUGUUAGUACAUCUUGACAGCAGGACGGUGGCCAUGGAAGUCGGAAUCCGCUAAGGACUGUGUAACAACUCACCUGCCGAAUGUACUAGCCCUGAAAAUGGAUGGCGCUCAAGCGUCCCACCCAUACCUCGCCCUCAGGGUAGAAACGAAGCCCUGAGGAGUAGGCGGACGUGGAGGUCAGUGACGAAGCCUGGGGCGUGAGCCC